AAGGCUUCAGUACGACCCAGUCAGAACAAUAAGUCUCAAAGCCCCGACGAGUAGGGUGGCGUGCCGGUGCGCGUUGAAGGCCAAGACGUGAGUCAGGCUGGAGCCGCCGGUAGUGCAGAUCUUGGUGGUAGUAGCAAGUACUCUGGUGAACCAACCUGGAGCUGUGAGGUCUGGAUUAGGGUUCCAUGUCAACAGUGAUUGAACAUGGGUGAGUCGAACCUAAGCCAACUGUGAAAGCAGUGACAUCCCAACAAAGGGCAUGUGCACACAUGCACUGCACUUACACCCCCAAAAGCUUGUAUAUGGUUACUCUCUCUCUGUGACGAAAAGGUGUCUGGUACGUAAAAUGCGCACACAUGAUGAUCACUACGUAGUGUGAGUGUGUGCGCGCUGGUCUGGUUACGCUCAUAAGCGUUGUUGNNNNNNNNGCGUGAGUUUGCUCCGGCUUGAGCAUCCUGCGUUGGUUCUAUGUCUGGCGAAAGGGAAUGGGGACUUUGUUCCUUGACCGGUCCCGGCACCCUCGAUUGGCUCAGCCAAUCAAUGGUCCAUGCAAAUGGAGCCAGGCCACAGCCGUCGGCAGUCGCCCGAGGAAGAGUUUUCUUUUCUGCUUAACGCACGAGGUCAUCCCUGGAAACAGUUCGGCUGGCGAAAGGGUGCCCCGUUGCGGCAGAGCGCCACGACUGUCGUGCGCGUCUCGGUGUUCCUGCUGAUCCGUGAAGACGUGGUCGAGGGGAAUGCUAUUGUAUCAACGAAACGUCCGACAAGUUCGGGACGGACCGUACCCUAUAUCCGCAUCUGGUCUCCAAGGUUCGUAGCCUCUGCAGAGUCAGACACAUGUAGGUAAGGGAAGUCGGCAAACUCGAUCCGUAACUUCGGGAAAAGGAUUGGCUCUGAGGGCCGAGCUGGGCCGGGCCUUGCCUGCAAAGCAGUACCUAUAGUGACCGGAGUUUCAGGAGUGCGAGGGGCUCUAGUAGCUGCUUGUGCGUGUGUGCGUUCGCGCGUGCGCGCGUGUGGGCACGAACGAGUCCACCGCUCCGCUCCAACCACGAACGGCUGUGACGGCAAGGGCUCUGGGCGGGAGCGAUCUAUCCGUUGGCCCCCAGCGCGUCUGGGUGGCGGCGGUGCUCCGUCUGACCCAUACGGCUCCAGCGGCUAGCGGCUAACUCAGAACUGUCAUGGACCAAGGGAAUCCGACUGUCUAAUUAAAACAAAGCGUCGUGACGGCCCCUGUUGGGUGUUGACGCGACGUGAUUUCUGCCCAGUGCUCUAA
rnacentral:rRNA from 1 species